rnacentral:rRNA from 1 species
AAUGAACGCUGGCGGCAUGCCUAACACAUGCAAGUCGAACGAAGGCUUCGGCCUUAGUGGCGCACGGGUGCGUAACGCGUGGGAAUCUGCCCCUUGGUUCGGAAUAACAGUUAGAAAUGACUGCUAAUACCGGAUGAUGACGUAAGUCCAAAGAUUUAUCGCCGAGGGAUGAGCCCGCGUAGGAUUAGCUAGUUGGUGUGGUAAGAGCGCACCGAGGCGACGAUCCUUAGCUGGUCUGAGAGGAUGAUCAGCCACACUGGGACUGAGACACGGCCCAGACUCCUACGGGAGGCAGCAGUGGGGAAUAUUGGACAAUGGGCGAAAGCCUGAUCCAGCAAUGCCGCGUGAGUGAUGAAGGCCUUAGGGUUGUAAAGCUCUUUUACCCGGGAUGAUAAUGACAGUACCGGGAGAAUAAGCUCCGGCUAACUCCGUGCCAGCAGCCGCGGUAA